UUUUCCUCUGUUUGCCGAAAAGGAGAUUCCUGGUCGGAAUAUUAUCGCUUUUUUACGAGAUAAAUUGCAUAAAAAUUGAUUUUAAACAGCGGUUGACAUGCUUCGAAGUACGGUAAUGGAAUAUUUAGACAUUUUUUGUCACGAAUUGCGCCAUGCGCACGACCCUGAUUGACCAUUUCGGAUAGUGUCUGGGACGCACGAACAAAACGCCGCUAUUCGGAUAUAACGAUGGAUUAUUUUGGACCAAACCAACAUUUGUUAUUGAAGUAGCAGUCCUGGGAGUGCAUUCUGACGAAGACAACAAAAGAGGCAAACCUAACACCUCACCAGCUGUGGCAUAUCGGAAUGCUCCAAACACCUGUGCACAUUUUUGUUUUUGCCACUACACAUCUGAUUCAACUGAUCAAGUCAUCAUCAAGCAUCAUGUGGUUAAUAUCAGCUGUGUUGGUGAACCCCUCCCGCAUCUGAACUGGCUGACACAGAGGGCACAGUGUGAUCAUAGUAGGUAUGUUUUGAUAUGAGAGAGGAAGCCAGUCCCAUCAUUGCCACCUCACCCGCUCUUAACAUAACCUUCGGGCCAACUGGGGGCCCAAGGCUGGUUAGGAGACACCACUAGAGACACUGUAAUUGUGAUGAACUGAGAGAAUAUUAGCGUAGCACUGUAAUUCAUUAAUUAUAUGCUGUCUGCCUCUUUUCUUCACUCUUUCCCUUUCUGUCUUCUACACCUGUUUCCCCACCUCGUCUUUCUUCCUCGUUUUAUAAUGCACACCAUAUGUGCAUUGAAGUAUAGAUUGAACUUGUAUUUAUAAUACCGAAAACACUCACAAACUUUUACAGAUGAACAAUCGAGAGCAUCCUAUUGGGCUGUAUCUCCGACUGGUAUGAAAACUGCUCCGCCCACAACCGUAAGGCUCUCCAGAGGGUAGUGAGGUCUGCACAACGCAUCAUCGGGGGCAAACUACCUGCCCUUCAGGACACCUACACCACCCGAUGUCACAGGAAGGCAAAAAGAUCAUCAAGGACAACAACCACCUGAGCCUGUUCACCCCGCUAUCAUCCAGAAUGCGAGGUCACUACAGGUGCAUCAAAGCUGGGACUAAGAGACUGAAAAACAGCUUCUAUCUCAAGCCCAUCAGACUGUUAAACAGCCAUCACUAACAUUGGGUGGCUGCUGCCAACAUACUGACUCAAAUCUCUAACCACUUUAAUAAUUACAAAUUGGAUGUAAUAAAUGGAUCACUAGUCACUUUAAACAAUGCCACUUUAUUUAAUGUUUACAUACCCUACAUUACUCAUCUCAUAUGCAUACACUGUACUCUAUACCAUCUACUGCAUCUUGCCUAUGCCGCAUGGCCAUCGCUCAUCCAUAUAUUUAUAUGUACAUAUUCUUAUUAAUUCCUUUACACUUGUGUGUAUAAGGUAGUUGUUUUGAAAUUGUUAGAUUACUUGUUAGAUAUUACUGCACGGUCGGAGCUAGAAGCAAAAGCAUUUUGCUACACUCACAUUAACAUCUGCUAACCAUGUGUAUGUGACCAAUCAAAUUUGCUUUGAUUUGAUUUGAUAUAAUAUUACAAUUAUCGUAAUUACAAUGCAUGCUCU
rnacentral:lncRNA from 1 species